AAACCAUAUAUUAUGGGGUACCACUUUGAAUGGUGUGCUAGUUUCAAACUACUCUGCAGAAUGUUUGUAGCGAUGGUCGAUGGUAGACACUAUGUAGUAAAGAAGCCUGAUCCAUGAGUGGAUCUUGCGAAACCUAAGUUUUCGAUUCGUAAAACCAAGAAAA
rnacentral:lncRNA from 1 species